UACGUAGGUGGCAAGCGUUGUCCGGAAUUAUUGGGCGUAAAGCGCGCGCAGGCGGUCCUUUAAGUCUGAUGUGAAAGCCCACGGCUCAACCGUGGAGGGUCAUUGGAAACUGGGGAACUUGAGUGCAGGAGAGAAGAGUGGAAUUCCACGUGUAGCGGUGAAAUGCGUAGAUAUCAUUUGGAACGCCAAUGGUGAAAACAGGUAGCUGGGGCUGUGCUGACGCUGAGACACGAAAGCCAGGGGAGCAAACGGG
rnacentral:rRNA from 1 species